rnacentral:rRNA from 1 species
UCCUACGGGGGGCAGCAGUGGGGAAUAUUGCACAAUGGGCGCAAGCCUGAUGCAGCGACGCCGCGUGAGGGAUGACGGCCUUCGGGUUGUAAACCUCUUUCGCCAGGGACGAAGCGCAAGUGACGGUACCUGGAGAAGAAGGACCGGCCAACUACGUGCCAGCAGCCGCGGUAAUACGUAGGGUCCGAGCGUUGUCCGGAAUUACUGGGCGUAAAGAGCUCGUAGGUGGUUUGUCGCGUUGUUCGUGAAAACUCACAGCUCAACUGUGGGCGUGCGGGCGAUACGGGCAGACUGGAGUACUGCAGGGGAGACUGGAAUUCCUGGUGUAGCGGUGGAAUGCGCAGAUAUCAGGAGGAACACCGGUGGCGAAGGCGGGUCUCUGGGCAGUAACUGACGCUGAGGAGCGAAAGCGUGGGGAGCGAACAGGAUUAGAUACCCUUGUAGUC